CAGGCCUAACACAUGCAAGUCGAACGGUAAGGCCCCUUCGGGGGUACACGAGUGGCGAACGGGUGAGUAACACGUGAGCAACCUGCCCUUGACUUUGGGAUACCAGCUGGAAACAGCUGCUAAUACCGGAUAUGACCUCUUUCUGCAUGGUUUGAGGUGGAAAGCUCCGGCGGUCAGGGAUGGGCUCGCGGCCUAUCAGCUUGUUGGUGAGGUAAUGGCUCACCAAGGCUUCGACGGGUAGCCGGCCUGAGAGGGCGACCGGCCACACUGGGACUGAGAUACGGCCCAGACUCCUACGGGAGGCAGCAGUGGGGAAUAUUGCACAAUGGGCGCAAGCCUGAUGCAGCAACGCCGCGUGCGGGAUGACGGCCUUCGGGUUGUAAACCGCUUUCAGUGGGGACGAAGCGCAAGUGACGGUACGCACAGAAGAAGGACCGGCUAACUACGUGCCAGCAGCCGCGGUAAU
rnacentral:rRNA from 1 species